UACGUAGGUGGCAAGCGUUUGUCCGGAUUUACUGGGCGUAAAGAGCGCGCAGGCGGUCGUUCAAGUCGCGUGUGAAAGCCCCCGGCUCAACUGGGGAGGGUCACGCGAUACUGAUCGACUCGAAGGCAGGAGAGGGUAGUGGAAUUCCCGGUGUAGUGGUGAAAUGCGUAGAUAUCGGGAGGAACACCCGUGGCGAAGGCGGCUCUCUGGAACG
rnacentral:rRNA from 1 species